rnacentral:rRNA from 1 species
AGUGAACGCUGGCGGUAGGCCUAACACAUGCAAGUCGAACGGCAGCACAGUAAGAGCUUGCUCUUACGGGUGGCGAGUGGCGGACGGGUGAGGAAUACAUCGGAAUCUACCUUUUCGUGGGGGAUAACGUAGGGAAACUUACGCUACUACCGCAUACGACCUACGGGUGAAAGCAGGGGAUCUUCGGACCUUGCGCGAUUGAAUGAGCCGAUGUCGGAUUAGCUAGUUGGCGGGGUAAAGGCCCACCAAGGCGACGAUCCGUAGCUGGUCUGAGAGGAUGAUCAGCCACACUGGAACUGAGACACGGUCCAGACUCCUACGGGAGGCAGCAGUGGGGAAUAUUGGACAAUGGGCGCAAGCCUGAUCCAGCCAUACCGCGUGGGUGAAGAAGGCCUUCGGGUUGUAAAGCCCUUUUGUUGGGAAAGAAAAGCAGCAGGUUAAUACCCCGCUGUUCUGACGGUACCCAAAGAAUAAGCACCGGCUAACUUCGUG